AAAGGAAGGAGCUUUGUGGUUUCGAACUCUCCUCUCCUCGUGCUGCGAAGGUACAGUGACAAGCUGCACUCACACCCGCUUUAGGAGCUUGGUCUCCAGAUGUGCUGGGGUAAUUUCUGUUUGCAUAAAAAAAGUUAUAAUAAGCCUUUGAGACCCACGUCUGUACAACAUCCCACAAACUCAACUCUCGGGUGUCUUGCAACCUGAAGCCAAGGCCUGGGCCUCUAUUUCAAAGGCUUGGCAGGAAAUUCAAUGUAUCUGAUGGAUUUAUGCAUUUAUUAUUUCUUUAAAAACUUCUCUAAAGCCGAAGU
rnacentral:lncRNA from 1 species